GAACAGCUCGUGUAGCAUUUCAUGCUGGGAACGGCAUUCCUUACGUAUGCCAGAAGCCACUGAACUGCUGCUGGCAUGAUGUCACUCAACCCUUCAGGCUGUUUUGAAGCUCCAUUUGUGAACUUUGACCAGCAGGUCCAUUCAACGUAUUUGCUUGUCACUCACCAUAGAACAUGGGUUCAACUGCAAGAGGGGCCCAGCACUAGCAUUAUUGGCCCAAGACCCAAACUGCAGGGGAAGGAGCAAGGCACAUUAGGCAAGGACAUAGAAUGAAAAACAGGAGUAAACAGAUGAAUGGAUAGUGGCCAAUUAAAAACCAAUUGCGACAACAGUGAGGGAUGGAAGGAAAAAGGAAAACAAAAAUAACUGGCUCAUAGGAGAUUGCUGCCAGGAAGAGAGCUUUCAGCUUUGUGAAGGGUACCACACAGGCCCUCCGGGGUGAGAUCGAGGAAAGGUGCAAAGGUAACAGGUAAAUCCAUUUUGGGCUCUCAGGAUCAGCAGCAAGAGUGAAUAGGUUAAUGCAAUGAUCACCAUAACAAAAAAUACUUCUACCUCUUUCCCAAGAUCUACAAACAGUAUAACAAGACACUAAAUAGCAUGAAGGAACACCAAUGGCACUACUUAAAGAGGUUAUGCAGUACUUAGAGGUUA